GGAGGCAUGAUUGAGAGGCGCAUCUCAAUGGCAUUGAGAGGGUCAGCGGUUCGAAUCCGCUUAGCUCCA
rnacentral:tRNA from 1 species